AUUUCUAAACUCCAACAACUUUACCGGGGAGUUGCCUGCAUCAUUUGCAAAUUUGACCACUAUGAAGGAAUUUCGGAUUGGUGGUAACAGUUUCUCUGGAAAGAUCCCUGAUUUCAUAGGGCAGUGGAAAAGUCUCAAGAGCUUAAGGAUUCAGGCCAGUGGGUUGGAUGGGCCAAUACCUCCUACCAUUACUCUUUUGGCAAAUUUGUCAGACUUGAGAAUCAGUGAUUUGGGAGGACCAGACUUUCUUAUUCCGCC